GCUGCAGGAUUCAAAAGCAGCACAUAUACUAAAAUUGGCACAAUACAGAGAAGAUUGGCAUGGCCCCUACGCAAGGAUGGUAUGCAAAUUCGUGAAGCAUUCCAUAUAUUU
ensembl:snRNA U6 U6 spliceosomal RNA